GUGUUAUUAGUGUCUGAUUUGAUCGGAGGCAGGGGGUGGUCUCCAAUCAAACAGAGAAAAGGUCUUGGAGAAGUUCUCUUAUCUGGAGUCAAGGCUUCAUGACAAUUUCAAAGAAAGGAAAAUAAAGAACGAUCUUCUGGCAGAUAGGGAGAAAGGAAGCAACUCUUUUGGAAGCAGGUAACAGACAAUUUGGAAUGAGAAGAGAAGGUCCAUCAAAAAGUAGAACAGGACCCCAAUCAAGUAAAAGGCAACAGCCUCACAGCUGCUCUUUUUUGCUCCCCAGACUGAAGGAUUUAGAGUUGCUUUUUCUUCUUCCUGAGAGAAUGUUGGGAAGCUGCCUUGACGGCCCUCUCCAUGCUCCUCGCCGACGCCACUUCGCGGUUCUUCACCAGCCACACACACAUCUGUCUAAAUAUUCAAGAACCUAGCUCCUUCUGCCUUUCCCCUAAGAAAAAGACAUGAAACAUAAACUUCACUGUUGGCAAAGGAAUUAUUUUUGCUGAACACCCAAUCUCUCUUCUAGUGUAACUCCAACACUUUAUGACCUCAUGGCACUUCUUGACCAGGUUAUGUAUUGUAAUAACUUGGGAUAUACAGAAGAAGAAAGCAGACAAAACAUGUCUCUUUGGAUGCCUACUCUGUAUUUGUAUUUGUAAAUGCCAAAGUUGGGUUUGCUUAUAUUUAUCUCCAUUUUCCCAUCCCUUUUCCUUUUUGCUGUUUCAUCCCCAAAGAAGAAGAAAAGAGGUUGAGCAAAGAGUGCAGCAUUUUCUAGAUAAGAGAAAUAUAA